rnacentral:rRNA from 1 species
UGGGGAAUAUUGCACAAUGGGCGAAAGCCUGAUGCAGCAACGCCGCGUGAGUGAUGAAGGCCUUCGGGUUGUAAAGCUCGGUCUUUUGGGACGAUAAUGACGGUACCAAAGGAGGAAGCCACGGCUAACUACGUGCCAGCAGCCGCGGUAAUACGUAGGUGGCAAGCGUUGUCCGGAUUUACUGGGCGUAAAGGAUGCGUAGGCGGAUUUUUAAGUGAGAUGUGAAAUACCCGGGCUUAACUUGGGUGCUGCAUUUCAAACUGGGAAUCUAGAGUGCGGGAGAGGAGAAUGGAAUUCCUAGUGUAGCGGUGAAAUGCGUAGAGAUUAGGAAGAACACCAGUGGCGAAGGCGAUUCUCUGGACCGUAACUGACGCUGAGGCAUGAAAGCGUGGGUAGCAAACAGGAUUAGAUACCCUGGUAGUCCACGCCGUAAACGAUGAGUACUAGGUGUAGGAGGUAUCGACCCCUUCUGUGCCGCAGUUAACACAAUAAGUACUCCGCCUGGGAAGUACGAUCGCAAGAUUAAAACUCAAAGGAAUUGACGGGGUCAUAGCUGUUUUCCU